GACGAACCGAGCGAACGUUGUUCGGAAUCACUGGGCUUAAAGCGUGUGUAGGCGGAUCGUUAAGUGCCUUGUGAAAUCCCACGGCUCAACCGUGGAACUGCUUGGCAUACUGGCGAUCUUGAGCCACUUAGGGGCUACCGGAACAAAUGGUGGAGCGGUGAAAUGCGUAGAUAUCAUUUGGAACGCCAAUGGUGAAAACAGGUAGCUGGGAGUGUGCUGACGCUGAGACACGAAAGCCAGGGGAGCAAACGGG
rnacentral:rRNA from 1 species